rnacentral:lncRNA from 1 species
GUCUAUAAUUUGGGAUCGACAAAAAAGAAAAUCAAAAUUGUCUAUAUAGGAAGGAAAUCUUUUAUAAAUUAUUAAUUUGGAGUGAAAAAGCUGAUUAAUACAUGUAAUUAAGCAACAAACAGAAUACACACACAACAUUAAUUAUUCGCAUAAUACAUACAUUUAUAAAGGACAACAAACGGGAACACUGAUCAUGUUUGGCUUAGCUUAAGAGUAAAAGAUAAGCCAGUUUCUUUUGUAGAAGAAGCAAAGCCGUACAUGCUCGCCAUAAUUGAUUGAUCCUUAAUCAUUGUCCUGACCUAGCGCAGAGAUUAUUGUAGGCACAAGGGCGUUUUCGGGCUGUGUGUUCAGAUUUCCAACACAACUACCGUAUGAAUUUCUCAGGCAGAAGGGUUUCAUCCGGAUGGCAGUUUGGUAAACGUUCGUUUUGGUUGGUUCAGCCAAAAUCCUUCUGCUUAUUUCUGUGGCGCUAAAACAUUCGAUCGUUUCGCUGAAGAUCAAGAAUGCCCACUGUAAAGUAAAGGAAAUUCAUG